rnacentral:rRNA from 1 species
GGGGUAAAAUUAAUAAAUUAAUUUUAAUAAAAAAAUUUUUAAUAAAAUAUUUUAAAGGGGGGGGUUAAAGUAUAUUUAUAGAAAAAAUAAAUUAAUUUAUAGUUAAAUAGUAUUGUAAAAGAAUUUUGAAAUAAUUGAAAAUUAAAUUUUUUUAAAAGUAAUUUUUAUUUAAUGUAUCUUGGGUAUCAGAGUUUAUUAAAAAAAAUUAUUAAAUAAAAAAAUUCUCGAAUUUAAAAGAGAUAAUUAAUUAAUAAAGUUAUUGUAGCAUAAAUAUUUUAAAUAAUUAAUUGGAAAUGAAAUGUUAAUCGUUUUUAAAUAUAUCUAGUUUUUUUAGAAAAAAAUUUAAUUUUAUAUUAUUUAAAAAAAAAAUUAAUUAAUUAAUUUUUUUUUUAAAUAAUAAUAUAUUUUAAGGGAUAAGCUUUAAUUUAAAUUUAUAUAAAUAAAUUGAAAAAUUAAAUUGAAAAUUUUAUAAUUUAUAUUGUUAAAAAAAUUUAAUUUAUUAUAAAUAAUUUCAUUUAAAAUAAAAUUUAAUAAAAUUUUAUAUGGUUUAUAAAAAAAAAAUUUUUAAUAAAAUAAAAUUUGAUAUAAUGAUAAAAUUAGUAUAUAAUAAAAUAUAUAAAUGAAUAAUUUAGUAUAAAUAAUUAAUUAAAAGGAAUUCGGCAAAAAUUUAUAUUCACUUGUUUAUCAAAAACAUGUCUUUUUGAAAAUAAUAUAAAGUCUAAUCUGCCCACUGAUAUAAUAUUAAAGGGCUGCAGUAUAUUGACUGUACAAAGGUAGCAUAAUCAUUAGUCAUUUAAUUGAUGACUUGUAUGAAAGAUUGGAUGAAAUAUAAACUGUCUCUUAAUUAAAUAUAGAAUUUAAUUUUUAAAUUAAAAAGUUUAAAUAAUUUAAAAAGACGAGAAGACCCUAUAGAGUUUUAUAAAUUUAAUGAUUAAGAUUAUUUAUUAAAAAAAAAUUAAAAUUAAUAAAUUUAUUUUGUUGGGGUGACAAAAAAAUAUAAAAAACUUUUUUUAAAAUAAACCAUAUAUAAAUGAUUAAAUGAUCCAUUAUUAUUGAUUAUAAGAAAAAAUUACCUUAGGGAUAACAGCGUAAUUUUUUUUUUUAGUUCUUAUAAAAAGAAAAGUUUGCGACCUCGAUGUUGGAUUAAGAUAAAAUUUAAAUGCAGUAGUUUAAAAUUUUUGAUCUGUUCGAUCAUUAAAAUCUUACAUGAUCUGAGUUCAAACCGGUGUAAGCCAGGUUGGUUUCUAUCUUUUAAAAAAUAAAAUAUUUUAGUACGAAAGGAUUAAAUAUUUAAAUUAAAUUUUUUAUUUUGAAUUUUAUUAAAGAUAAUUUAUAAAUUUAUAAUAAAUAAAUUAAUAUAUAUAUAUAUAUAUAUAUAUAUUU